rnacentral:ribozyme from 1 species
AUAUAAGGAUAAAAUAAGGUGCAAAUUGAAUGUUUUUCGAUUUGUUUGUUGUUGUUGAAAUUCCUAUUCUCUCUUCCCUCCCUUACUCAAGAUCGGGACGAUUUCGAUGAAAAC